rnacentral:lncRNA from 1 species
UGGGAACCUUUAAAUAUGAAUGAAUGAAAAAUCUCAAUGUAAAAAUGAAGAAAAUAUGAAUGCAAACUUAAAAAUGUGAAAAAAUGUAAAAAUAUGAAAUAGUAAAUAUGAACAUGAAUGAAGGAUAUGAAGGUGAAUGAAGAAAGAAUGCAAACGAGUGAUUGAUGGGGAAAAAAUUUCAGGGUCAAAAUCGGGGUAUGACAGUAUCACACUACACUUGCAUUUUUAGUCCAACAAUGGUGUUAUUGCGGAGAAUUAUUUAUUGUUUCAACAAAGAAAAAUCAGGUGAUUAUACUUUAUUUAUGUUAUUAUAUUUUAUUUUAUUUUA